GACGAACGCUGGCGGCGUGCUUAACACAUGCAAGUCGAACGGAAAGGCCCUGCUUUUGUGGGGUGCUCGAGUGGCGAACGGGUGAGUAACACGUGAGUAACCUGCCCUUGACUUUGGGAUAACUUCAGGAAACUGGGGCUAAUACCGGAUAGGAGCUCCUGCUGCAUGGUGGGGGUUGGAAAGUUUCGGUGGUUGGGGAUGGACUCGCGGCUUAUCAGCUUGUUGGUGGGGUAGUGGCUUACCAAGGCUUUGACGGGUCGCCGGACUGAGAGGGUGAACGGCCACAUUGGGACUGAGAUACGGGCCAGACUCCAACGGGAGGCAGCAGUGGGGAAUAUUGCAAAAUGGGCGGAAGCCAGAUGCAGCAACGCCGCGUGCGGGAUGACGGCCUUCGGGUUGUAAACCGCUUUCGCCUGUGACGAAGCGUGAGUGACGGUAAUGGGUAAAGAAGCACCGGCUAACUACGUG
rnacentral:rRNA from 1 species